UCUUAGUGGCGGACGGGUGAGUAACACGUGAGCACCUGCUGGAGAGAGGGAUAGCUUCUGGAAACGGAUGGUAAUACCUCAUAACAUACAGAGACCGCAUGAUUUCUGUAUCAAAGAUUUAUCACUCUGAGAUGGGCUCGCGUCUGAUUAGCUAGAUGGUGAGGUAACGGCCCACCAUGGCGACGAUCAGUAGCCGGACUGAGAGGUUGAACGGCCACAUUGGGACUGAGACACGGCCCAGACUCCUACGGGAGGCAGCAGUGGGGAAUAUUGCACAAUGGGGGAAACCCUGAAUGCAGCGAUGCCGCGUGGAGGAAGAAGGUUUUCGGAUUGUAAACUCCUGUCUUAAAGGACGAUAAUGACGGUACUUUAGGAGGAAGCUCCGGCUAACUACGUGCCAGCAGCCGC
rnacentral:rRNA from 1 species